rnacentral:rRNA from 1 species
GAUGAACGCUGGCGGCGUGCUUAACACAUGCAAGUCGAACGGAAAGGCUCCUGCUUGCAGGGGUACUCGAGUGGCGAACGGGUGAGUAACACGUGGGUGAUCUGCCCUGCACUUCGGGAUAAGCCUGGGAAACUGGGUCUAAUACCGGAUAGGACGAUGGUUUGGAUGCCAUUGUGGAAAGUUUUUCGGUGUGGGAUGAGCUCGCGGCCUAUCAGCUUGUUGGUGGGGUAAUGGCCUACCAAGGCGUCGACGGGUAGCCGGCCUGAGAGGGUGUACGGCCACAUUGGGACUGAGAUACGGCCCAGACUCCUACGGGAGGCAGCAGUGGGGAAUAUUGCACAAUGGGCGCAAGCCUGAUGCAGCGACGCCGCGUGGGGGAUGACGGCCUUCGGGUUGUAAACUCCUUUCGCUAGGGACGAAGCACAAGUGACGGUACCUGGAGAAGAAGCACCGGCUAACUACGU